CUCGUAGGUGGCCAACUAAGUCAGACGUGAAAUCCCUCGGCUUAACCGGGGAACUGCGUCUGAUACUGGAUGGCUUGAGUUUGGGAGAGGGACGCGGAAUUCCAGGUGUAGCGGUGAAAUGCGUAGAUAUCUGGAGGAACACCGGUGGCGAAGGCGGCGUCCUGGACCAACACUGACACUGAUGAGCGAAAGCCAGGGAGCAAACG
rnacentral:rRNA from 1 species